GAUGAACGCUGGCGGCGUGCCUAAUACAUGCAAGUCGAGCGAACAGACGAGGAGCUUGCUCCUCUGACGUUAGCGGCGGACGGGUGAGUAACACGUGGAUAACCUACCUAUAAGACUGGGAUAACUUCGGGAAACCGGAGCUAAUACCGGAUAAUAUAUUGAACCGCAUGGUUCAAUAGUGACAGACGGUUUUGCUGUCACUUAUAGAUGGAUCCGCGCCGCAUUAGCUAGUUGGUAAGGUAACGGCUUACCAAGGCAACGAUGCGUAGCCGACCUGAGAGAGGGAUAGGCCACACUCGAAGUGGGAGACGGGCCAGACUCCUACGGGAGGCAGCAGUAGGGUACCUUCCGCGAUGGGCGAAAGCCUGACGGAGCAACGCCGCGUGGGUUAUGAGGGUCUUCGGGUCGUAAAACACUGUUAUUAGGGAAGAACAAAUGUGUAAGUAACUGUGCACGUCUUGACGGUACCUGAUCAGAAAGCCACGGCUAACUACGUG
rnacentral:rRNA from 1 species